GACGUAGGAGGCGAGCGUUAUCCGGAUUCACUGGGCGUAAAGCGCAUGUAGGCGGAUGUCUAAGUCGUGUGUUAAAGCCCCUGGCUCAACUGGGGGAGGUCAUGCGAGACUGGAUGACUUGAGGGCAACAGAGGCACGUGGAACUCCCGGUGUAGCGGUGGAAUGCGUAGAGAUCGGGAAGAACACCCGUGGCGAAGGCGGCGUGCUGGGUUGCAACUGACGCUGAGAUGCGAAAGUGUGGGGAGCAAACGGG
rnacentral:rRNA from 2 species